rnacentral:rRNA from 1 species
UACGUAGGGGGCUAGCGUUGUCCGGAUUUAUUGGGCGUAAAGCGUGCGCAGGCGGUUCGCUAAGGCCGAUGUGAAAUCCCCGGGCUUAACCUGGGAACUGCAUUGGUGACUGGCGGGCUAGAGUAUGGCAGAGGGGGGUAGAAUUCCACGUGUAGCAGUGAAAUGCGUAGAGAUGUGGAGGAAUACCGAUGGCGAAGGCAGCCCCCUGGGCCAAUACUGACGCUCAUGCACGAAAGCGUGGGGAGCAAACAGG